UACAGAGGGUGCGAGCGUUUAAUCGGAAUUACUGGGCGUAAAGCGCGCGUAGGCGGCUUUGCAAGUCGAGUGUGAAAUCCCCAGGCUUAACCUGGGAACUGCAUUCGAGACUGCAUAGCUAGAGUAUGGGAGAGGGAAGUGGAAUUUCAGGUGUAGCGGUGAAAUGCGUAGAUAUCAGGAAGAACACCCGUGGCGAAGGCGGUUCUCUGGGACGGUACUGACGCUGAGACGCGAAAGCGUGGGGAGCGAACAGG
rnacentral:rRNA from 1 species